rnacentral:rRNA from 1 species
AUUCCAGCUCCAAUAGCGUAUACUAAAGUUGUUGCGAUUAAAAAGCUCGUAGUUGGAUCUCAGGCAUGGGCGCACGGUCCGCCUCGCGGCGGUCACUGUGUGAAUUGUUUUCCCAUCCUACGCUUCCCGGUUGUUCAGCCCAUGGUGCUCUUCAUUGAGCGUUUUGGGUGGCCGGAACGUUUACUUUGAAGAAAUUAGAGUGUUCAAAGCAGGCACAUCGCCUGAAUAAUGGUGCAUGGAAUGAUGGAAUAGGACCUCGGUUCUAUUUUGCUGGUUUUCGGAACACGAGGUGAUGAUUAAGAGGGACAGACGGGGGCAUCCGUAUUGCGGUGUUAGAGGUGAAAUUCUUGGAUCAUCGCAAGACGAACAACUGCGAAAGCAUUUGCCAAGCAUGUUUUCAUUA